UUAUCUCUGUAGAGUCUGCAUAUCAAUAAGCGGAGGAAAAGAAACUAACAAGGAUUCCCCUAGUAACGGCGAGUGAAGCGGGAAGAGCUCAAAUUUGAAAUCUUCAAGGGUUUACCUUUACGAAUUGUAGUUUAAAGAAGUGUUUUCUGUUGGAAGUUUCGGUAAAAGUUCUUUGGGAAUAGGACAUCAUAGAGGGUGAGAAUCCCGUAUUUGACGUUAUUCAUUCUAGCUGUGUGAUACACUUUCAAAGAGUCGGAUUGUUUGGGAAUGCAGUCCAAGAUGGGUGGUAAAUUUCAUCUAAAGCUAAAUAUUGGCGAGAGACCGAUAGCGAACAGGUACCGUGAGGGAAAGAUGAAAAGAACUUUGAAAAGAGAGUUAAACAGUACGUGAAAUUGUCAAAAGGGGAGCGUUUGACACCAGUGUUGUUUAGUUCGAAAAUCAAUUAAAUAGUUUGAUUCAUCCAGUUAGUAUUGACCUUAUCAGCUUGCAAUUUGGUUUUGGGUCUCUUUUUGAUGCACUUUUCGGUAAACAAGUCAACAUCAAUUUCCUUUGCUGUAAAAAGGUAAGAGGAAGGUGGCUUCAAUUUCGGUUGAAGUGUUUAUAGCCUUUUAUCUCUGCAGUCGGGGAGAUUGAGGUCUGCAGCGUAGAUCCUUCGGGGCUAGAUACAUUUAUGCUAAGUUAUAGCUUUUCAUAGACAACUUGUUGACUAUGUUUAGUCAUGUAGCUUACUCGUAAGUGCUAUUUUACCUACGCUUAGGAUGUUGACUGAUAUGUAGUCGUA
rnacentral:rRNA from 1 species